rnacentral:rRNA from 1 species
ACCUACGGGAGGCAGCAGUGGGGAAUUUUGGACAAUGGGCGCAAGCCUGAUCCAGCCAUUCCGCGUGCAGGACGAAGGCCUUCGGGUUGUAAACUGCUUUUGUACGGAACGAAAAGGCUCUGGCUAAUACCUGGGGCUCAUGACGGUACCGUAAGAAUAAGCACCGGCUAACUACGUGCCAGCAGCCGCGGUAAUACGUAGGGUGCAAGCGUUAAUCGGAAUUACUGGGCGUAAAGCGUGCGCAGGCGGUUAUGUAAGACAGGCGUGAAAUCCCCGGGCUCAACCUGGGAACUGCGCUUGUGACUGCAAGGCUAGAGUAUGGCAGAGGGGGGUGGAAUUCCACGUGUAGCAGUGAAAUGCGUAGAGAUGUGGAGGAACACCGAUGGCGAAGGCAGCCCCCUGGGCCAAUACUGACGCUCAUGCACGAAAGCGUGGGUAGCAAACAGGAUUAGAUACCCUAGUAGUCG